ACCUCUUCAGCCUUUCUCUUGCUCCUCUUCUGGAGGAGGCAAUGUCUCCUAUGUGGCCUAGGCUGGUCUUGAACUCACAGCAACCUUCCUGCCUUGGGAUCAAGUGUUGAGAUUGGAUUUCGGAAAUGCACCUUAGAGACCGAACAUUGCAUGGAUCCUUGCAUUUCAAAGCUCCAGGGAACUGGAAGUGUGUCAGAAGACAAGCAGGAGGGACCUGCAGUGUGAUGGAGAAGGUGAUUGAACGUUGGAUGAAGACUUCUCUUUCCACGUGUUGCUAUCUGGAGAGGCCAUACAACUUGCCCUGUUGAUAGAAUAAGGAAGGUUCUCUAAGAACCAGCUUCGUGCUUCUUGACCUCAUUGGGUGGCCCUAUCAGUCUGGAUCUUAAAGUGAACACAACGUGCUAAUCUGCAACAGGAGCCACAACUUGAUAGGGAUGGAGAAUAGGCAUGUUUUGUAAAACCGCUGUUUCUUGGUUGCUUGAUACUGCAAUGUGACUCCCCUCGCCCCCCAUGAAUACAAAGCAAUGAUUCUGUC